AAAUGCUAGUUUAGUUUUUCUUAAAUUAUUUAUCAGUUUAGUAUACAUUUAUAGAUGUCUUUUUAUACUUUGUGCAAUAUUCUUCACUUAACUCUUGUAUGGAAUACUGAUUAGAAGGGGACUUUUAAGUGACUUUUCUUAUUUCUUUCAAAACAAUUUACAAGUUAAAAGUUUUGUGUAAUUUUGAUGAUUUAUCUUUAGCCUGCUGACUGCAACUAAUAUUACCCAUGGAACCAGUGCAGACCAAGAUCAGCUGACACAUCUGUGCUGUCUUAUCAUGGUCUGCACUGUUUGCUACUGAUCAAGGUCUGCACUGUUUGCUAUUCAGUUAGAACUUAUUUUGAAUUUUUUUUUAAAUAGUGAUGCAUGUUUUUUCGACCAGAAUGAAAGUUGGACAAUUCCAUUUAAGAUAUUAAUGGUGGUAAGGGUUUACAUAUGAUUUUCAUUGAAUACGGGAUAUUAAAGAACUGUCAAAAGAGUGCUUUGGUUUUGACACCUAUGACCUUGUUUUAAAAGGUUAUUUACCUUUAGUAAGGUUUCAUUUACGAUUCCAGACUUUUAAUUUUAGGUGUUUUAAUUUUUAAAGAUUUUUUUAUUACAGGUUUGAUUAAAUGUUGUGUUGUACUAAAAUACUUUAUAUAUUUUUUGUUUGUCCAUAAAUCAUUUGUAAUUUAUUAAAAUUGCAUUCAUAUGAAGCAGUAAGUAGUUUAUGUAAUAUAAUUAUACUUGUUCAGAGCCAAAAUGUAUCAAUAUCUUUGCAAUUGCCCAGACCCUUACUAUUGUAACUGACAAUUUCAGUGAUUGGUUGCUCUUGUGUAAACAGUUUUGCACAUAUUUAUUUUGUAAAAGGAGAAAUGAUUAUCUAAACCUUGAUUAUGUGACCCAUGAUCAUGUGACCCAUGAUUGUGUGACCCAUGAUUAUGUUAUGGUUAUGUUAACCAUGAUUAUGUGAACCAUGAUUUAUUCAACCAUUAUGUGAACCAUGAUUAUGUAAACCAUGAUUAUGUGAACCAUGAUUUAUUCAACCAUUAUGUGAACCAUGAUUAUGUGAACCAAGCUUUUUUCAACUAUAUUAAUGUUAAUGAUUAUGAAUAUAUUUUUAUGUUUUCCUUUUCUAAUAAAAGGCUAAGAAGAAUCUGCAUGUUGUUUGUCAUACAUUGUGUUCACGGCCCAGUGGUUAAGGUGAAUGUUGUUGACUAACUUGUUUCUUUGAAUGUGGUGUGUCAAAGUUUUUCGAAAAUGGAGAUUAACCAUUUAAAAGAAUGAACCAUGCUGUGCAUCUUGGGUCUCCCUCUCUUUCUCAGAAAGCUGGACAACUGCCUUAUGAUAAUAACAGUGCCACUGUGACUUAAACCCCUUGUGGCUUGAAGGGUUGUGGCAUCAGAAUUGCAGCUACUGUUUAUCCUUAUGUGAUCAUAACAUGUGAAUUACUGAGGGUACGAAUUACAUGAUGCUAUGCAUCUCUUCUCCAGCAGGUGAGGUGGUUUUGACCCUUGGUGUAACUUAUUAAAUUGUGUUGGCGUGCCAUAAAGCCAAAGAGAGCUUUGCCUUAAACCAUACCAUAUUACUGGCCAAUAAUUUUCAUGUGAGGAAUCAAUCCAUACAACUUACUGAAGAUUAUUUGCGUGAAAUAAUGUACCUAAAUGUUACAGAGGUAACUUGCAUUUUCCUACACCAAAAAAGAUGAAAACAUUUCAAUCAUACUUUAAACCUGAGCCCACUGGCAAUAACAGAUUUAUCCACGCCACUAGUACAAGCCCAAGAUCAGCUGACACAUUUGUGCUGUAGUUGCUUUUACAAGAUACAAGUUUUGUGUAAUUUUGAUGAUUUAUUUUUAGCCUGCUGACUGCAACUAAUAUUACCCAUGGAACUAGUGCAGACAAAGAUCAGCUGACACAUCUGUGCUGUCUGAUCAUGGUCUGCACUGUUUGCUACUGAUCAUGGUCUGCACUGUUUGCUAUUCAGUUAGAACUUAUUUUGAAAUUGUUUACCUUAAAUGAUGAAUGGGUUUGUACAGAUUGAAAGAUGGACAAAGAUUUUUCCCACUCUGAAAUGAUCUUGUGAAACAUAGAUUAAUUUUUUAAUCAAAUGUUUAUUUUGGUGUAUGCAUUAAAUGAAAUUAUAUUAAUUUAUGUUUUCAAAAAUAGAAAACGGUCACUUAAACUUUUGAAUAAUCAACAUUUUAACUGAUUGAUAAUUUUAAGUGAUAUAUUCAACUUAUUAGUCCCCUACCGGUUUACCGGAGGGGACUUUAGGUUUACCCUCCGUCCGUCUGUCCGUCCGUCUGUCCGUCAGUCCACAAAACUGGAUCCCGCGAUAACUUGAAAAGUACUGAAAAUAUUUUUAUGAAACUUGAUAUAUGGAUAGAUGGCAGUAUGGAGAUUAUACACGUCUUUUUCUUUUCUUCCUAUGUUGAAAAUUCUGGUUGCUAUGGCAACAAAUAGGCUGAAAAUAUGGCAAAUUUUACACAUAAACUGGAUCCAAUGAUAACGCAAAAAAUACUGAAAAUAUUUUUAUGAAACUUGAUAUAUGGAUAGAUGGCAGUAUGGAGAUUAUACACGUCUUUUUCUUUUCUUCCUAUGUUGAAAAUUCUGGUUGCUAUGGCAACAAAUAGGCUGAAAAUAUGGCAAAUUUUACACAUAAACUGGAUCCAAUGAUAACGCAAAAAGUACUGGAAAUAUUUUUAUGAAACUUUAAAUAUGGGUAGAUGGUAGUCUGGAGAUUACGCACGUCUUUUUCUUUUCUUCCUAUGUUGAAAAUUCUGGUUGCUAUGGCAACAAAUAGACUGAAAAUAUGGCAAUUUUUACACAUAAACUGGAUCCAGUGUUAACGCAAAAAGUAAUAGAAGUAUCUUUAUGAAACUUGUAAUAUGUGUAGAUGGCAGUCUGGAGAUUAUGCACAUCUUUUUCUUUGAAAAUUCUGGUUGCUGUGCCAAUAUACUAGGGACAGUAUCAGAGGUGAAUAUGAAUAUAAAUUGUGUGUACGUGUGAUCUGAUUUUGUGUGUAUCUCUACAUAGAGAAUACAAAAGUAAUAUAUUGUGUGUACAUGUGAUCUGAUUUGAUGUGUAUAUGUGCAUAGAGAAUACAAAAGUAAUAUAUUGUGUGUACAUGUGAGCUGAUUUGGUGUGUAUAUGUGCAUAGACUAAACAAGAGUAAUACAUAUUGUGUGUACAUGUGAUCUGAUUUGGUGUGUAUCUGUGCAUAGAGAAUACAAAAGUAAUAUAUUGUGUGUACAUGUGAUCUGAUUUGGUGUGUAUAUGUGCAUAGAGUAUACAAGAGUAAUAUGUAUUGUGUGUACAUGUGAUCUGAUUUGCUUGGAAAGUAACCUCACCAUUUCUUGAAUGUGUUUUAACCACAUUGCAUUUACUUACCAUUUUAUUAGAAUGCUUAUUUUUUCAUGCUCUUAAUAGGAGUUUUUAUUUAACUCUUUUUAUAAUAAUCAAUAUUCAAUAUGUUGUUCUGUCAAAAGUACUCUGGGUACCUUUCAUGUCUCUUAAAAUUAUUGUUUUGAAGUGUAAUGUUGGUGAAAAAUACAAACUAAUUUUAAUGUAGCUUUACCACUAUAUUCAAAUAUAUUAGAUCAAAGUUUGUGUCUGGGAAUGUUAAAAUCAUUUGCAAUGCUUUAAAAAAAUGAAUGCUUGUUAUACGUCAGAAAUUUGGUCAACAUAUUGAAUAAUGAAUAUUUAUAAUCUCAUUAACAUUCCAUAAAUAUUCAUUACAUGUUAAUUGUUUAAGGCAGUGACCUUUGUAUGUAUUUGACUAAUGAGGCUGAACUAUGUUAAACCAUGUUAUAUGACUACAUAUGUAUUUCUUUGGGGGCUGAGCUAAGGUUAAGCCAUGCCAUGUGACUGAUAUGUAUUUCUUUUUGGCAGAGGUAAAGUUAAACCAUGUUUAAUUAUGUUAUUUUAUGGGAACAGAAUUAAGUUUAAAAUAUUUUAAAAGAUUUUUUAUUUAAUUUUUUUAAUUUUUAAUUUUUGACUUCAGAAAUAAGAAAAAGUAAAGCAUUGUCCUCACUUGGGGGUGGCUAUUGUUUUUUUACAGUUGAAAUCUGUCAUGUGACUAGAUAUGAAAUUCUGUGGGAAUGCAGCUACAGUUAAAAUAUGUCAUGUUGUUUAGGAGAGCAAGUCAUGUUACUAGAUUUGUUUAAUGUUGUUGGGUGGAGAUAUGAUUCUGAUAUAUCAUGUGACUUAUUAGCUAGUAAAAUUGUUUGGUAGAAUGAAGGUUAUUUUAAUGUCCUAUAACAAAAUGAUGAUACACACCAAAAUUGUAAAUAAUCUAUAAUAAUGGCUUUAAACCCACAUUUAAUUUUAAAUGGUACACUAGGGCAAUGUGUGCUUGUAGUAAAGGAAUGACACACUUUUAAUAAAAGUUUCUUAAUUAACUUCAUUUGUUAGAUUUUUAUUUCUUUUUAUCAGAAUAAAUCAUAGCCGUAUUUUUGAUUAACAAUGCACAAUGUUAAAAAAAUGUUUUUAUUACAAUAACACUUGUACCAAGAGUAUGAAAGGUAUUAUUUUAAUGGACUCCUCAGAAUUGACAUCUUUAACUUUUACCCAUGUCUUCAACGAAUUAUAGGUGCUUUUUGUCUCGCCACUUAUAGGGAUCACUUCUCCGUUGUCUAUCACAUCCAUCAUAGAACUUGUCCAGACUACUUCUCAAAAAAUACUGGUGCAAUUUCAUCCAAACUUUAAUGGAAUGAUCAUUAACAUGUCUAGUUUCGCAUAAUGUUGGCAUUUUUCUGGUUCAGUGAUUUUUGAGUUAUGGCCCUUUGAUGAAUUUUAUUUUUUAAAGUUUUGUCCGGACUAUUUCUCUUAUACUAAUAUUGCAAUUUAAGUGAAACUUUACAUGAUUGAACGGUAUCUCAAGUACUUGCCCAUAUUUAAUGGACUUUCCUGUUGAAUAUUUUUUGACUGAGUUAUGACCCAUAAAUAGAAAAAGUGUUUGGGUCAGUUCAUGAUUUUUGUGUCUCCUGCUACUCAGUAGCUGCAACAUGCAAUUGGCUAUCAUCAGGUGUCACAUGUCAUUACUGAUUGCUCUAGUUCUGGUAUUUGGGAAUUUUCAUGCUUGUGUCACUUUUAACUCAAAAAUAUAUUUGCUAAGGCAAUGUAUUUUUCAGCAUGUAAAUUAAUGCACCUGUGUAUUUUGGCACAAAUUUUUCCUUGAGAUUGGCAGAGUUAUGCCCUCUAUAAAGUGUUAAAUGGAGCUAAUUGCUUAGGAAAACAAAAUUUAAUGAGUAAAAAGUAUUGAAAUUAGAAAGCCCUGAUUAUGUCUGCCACACGAUGAUCAUGAAAAUUUUGACAACCAAACAAAAAAAAAGAUUUUAAUGAAAACAAAGCAGGAAAGCUUGUGAAAUUGAGCCCGGUUUUGUUUCUUUUAAAAUCUUAUAUAAAGUUAUGUUGAGUAAAAGGAAAGAUUAGAUCUAGAUUUAGAUAUACUAGUUUUAUCUUUGUUAAUUUUUCACAUUUUUACGGUAAAAACAUCAAUCUUUUUAAUGACAUGACCAAUGUUUUCUCAGGUGAAAUGCAUAUUUAUAACUCGAAAAUUUGCUUUUAAACAACUUUUAAGAAAAUGUUUAAGAAACUUUAAAGUUUAUAAAGCUCAGUUCAUAUUUAUUUUUGUUUUAUUCAUUGAAAUAUGUAAUAACAACAAAAUUUCCAAUAUUUUUUUAUGCCAAUUGUAAUAUUCUUCUCAUAAAAUCUGGAGGCCUGCAGUUGUAUGUGAGCUUUAAAUAGUUCAUGAAUAAAAACAGCAGUAGUAGAUUCCUUUAGUUUGUGAAAUGCUAAUUUAGUUUUUUCUUAAAAUGUUUAUCAGUUUAGUAUACAUUUAUAGAUGUCUUUUUAUACUUUGUGCAAUAUUCUUUGCUUAACUCUUGUAUGAAAUACUGAUUAGAAGAUGAUUUUUUAGUGACUUUUCUUAUUUCUUUCAGAACUGUGAUUUACAAGUUAAAAAAGUUUAGUGUAAUAUUGAUGAUUCAUCUUUAGCCUGCUGGCUGCAACUAGUAUUACCCAUGGUACCAGUUCAGACCAAGAUCAGUUGGCACAUCUGAGCUGUCUGAUCAUGGUCUGCACUGUUUUGCUAUGCAGUCGGUUCUUCUUUUGAUUUUUUUUAAAUAGUGAUGCAUGUUUUUUAUACCAGAAUGAAAGUUGGACAAUUCCAUUUAAGAUAUUAAUGGUGGUAAGGGUUUACAUAUGAUUUUCAUUGAAUACGGGAUAUUAAAGAACUGUCAAAAGAGUGCUCUGGUUUGACACCUAUGACCUUGUUUUAAAAGGUUAUUUACAUUUUCAUUUACGAUUCCAGACUUUUAAUUUUAGGUGUUUUAAUUUUUAAAGAUUUUUUUAUUACAGCUUUGAUUAAAUGUUGUGUUGUACUAAAAUACUUUAUAUAUUUUUUGUUUGUCCAUAAAUCAUUUGUAAUUUAUUAAAAUUGCAUUCAUAUGAAGCAGUAAGUAGUUUAUGUAAUAUAAUUAUACUUGUUCAGAGCCAAAAUGUAUCAAUAUCUUUGCAGUUGCCCAGACCCUUACUAUUGUAACUGACAAUUUCAGUGAUUGGUUGCUCUUGUGUAAACAGUUUUGCACAUAUUUAUUUUGUAAAAGGAGAAAUGAUUAUCUAAACCUUGAUUAUGUGACCCAUGAUCAUGUGACCCAUGAUUGUGUGACCCAUGAUUAUGUUAUGGUUAUGUUAACCAUGAAUAUGUGAACCAUGAUUUAUUCAACCAUUAUGUAAACCAUGAUUAUGUAAACCAUGAUUAUGUGAACCAUGAUUUAUUCAACCAUUAUGUGAACAAUGAUUAUGUGAACCAAGCUUUUUUCAACUAUAUUAAUGUUAAUGAUUAUGAAUAUAUUUAUAUGUUUUCCUUUUCUAAUAAAAGGCUAAGAAGAAUCUA